AAGCAGUUGGUAUCAACGCACAUUCGUACGUGAAUCCCAUAUGGUCUAGUGGUUAGGAUUCGUGGUUUUCACCCACGCGGCCCGGGUUCGAUUCCCGGUAUGGGAAAUCCAUUUUGCUUAAUUUUUGAAUGUUGAAAAUUUUCCCUUAAUAUUGACUUUUUCACUAUUGAAUCAGUGUAAAUUUUGAAUAACACUUCACCAAGUACUAUUUCAAAAAA